GACGAACGCUGGCGGCGUGCUUAACACAUGCAAGUCGAACGAUGAAGCCGGAGCUUGCUCCGGUGGAUUAGUGGCGAACGGGUGAGUAACACGUGAGCAAUCUGCCCUUGACUCUGGGAUAACUGCGGGAAACUGUAGCUAAUACCGGAUACGACACCUUGGGGCAUCCCAGGGUGUGGAAAGAAUUUCGGUCAAGGAUGAGCUCGCGGCCUAUCAGCUAGUUGGUGGAGUAAUGGCUCACCAAGGCGACGACGGGUAGGCGGCCUGAGAGGGUGACCGGCGAGACUGGCACUGAGACACGGUCGAGACUCCUACGGGAGGCAGCAGUGGGGAAUAUUGCAGAAUGGGCGAAAGCCUGAAGCAGCAACGCCGCGUGAGGGAUGAAGGCCUUCGGGUUGUAAACCUCUUUUAGCAGGGAAGAAGCGAAAGUGACGGUACCUGCAGAAAAAGCACCGGCUAACUACUUGCCAGCAGCCGCCGUAA
rnacentral:rRNA from 1 species